rnacentral:lncRNA from 1 species
GACCCUCUUCUUCUCUGUUUCUACGAUGAGAAGGGGAAGAUGGCGUUGGGAGCUUCAUGCAUAAUCUAUGUUCGUUGAGAAGAGGGGCUGCAGAGAGGGAUCAUAGCAGGUUGACGGUCCCAACUUUCUCGUUGCAGUCGCCGCCGCUGUCACCCAGCCCACCUCACCUUUGUUGCUCCUAAUGAGAAGGGGAAGAAGGAGGGUAGAGGGCUGCACGCAGUAGCCACCCCCAAAGAAACCCUCCUCUGUUCCACCGAGCAGAACAGGAGGAGAGCAGGAGAUGCAGAACCGCCGACCGCAGCAGAGCACCAUUGACCACGAGAAGGGUACGAUUACAACAGCCUUCCUCCGAUAUCAGAGCAAGGGAUGCAAGGAGGAGCGAUC